UUAUGAUCCAGCAGUAGAAGAGCAAUCAGUCAUUUGAGAAUUAAUCGCGUAGGGCAGAAAAGAAUGGCAUGUGAAAGAAUCUUCAUUGUUAAAACCAGGUCACCUUCUACAUUCCUGGGCGUGACAAGUCAGAUAAUAGGGAUACCAAGAGCUUGCCAUGUGUCUCUCUAAGGUAGUUUUGUUGCUUCAUGAAUUGGUCUAAACAAGCAGAAGAAGAAGGCUAAGGAAACCGAGCGUUAUCUUCUGGUUGGACACAGAAGUGCUUGGAAUGCAUUGGAUCGCUUGGUGCAAGCAAUUUUUAUGUCUGAUAAACAAGAGGAGAAGAUGGUGGUCAAGUAAAGUGAUGGAAGAUCUAAAUCCAUUGAUGGAGCUAGAAUAGGAGGAAGC